rnacentral:rRNA from 1 species
UGGGGAAUCUUGCGCAAUGGGCGAAAGCCUGACGCAGCGACGCCGCGUGGGUGAUGAAGGCCUUCGGGUUGUAAAGCCCUGUGGGGAGAGACGAAUAAGUCGGAGCCAAUACCUCCGGCGAUGACGGUAUCUCCUUAGCAAGCACCGGCUAACUCUGUGCCAGCAGCCGCGGUAAGACAGAGGGUGCAAACGUUGUUCGGAAUUACUGGGCGUAAAGCGUGUGUAGGCGGCCUUGCAAGUCGGAUGUGAAAGCCCCGGGCUCAACCCGGGAAGUGCACCCGAUACUGCUAGGCUUGAGUACCGGAGAGGUUGGUGGAAUUCUCGGUGUAGAGGUGAAAUUCGUAGAUAUCGAGAGGAACACCGGUGGCGAAGGCGGCCAACUGGACGAGUACUGACGCUGAGACACGAAAGCGUGGGGAGCAAACAGGAUUAGAUACCCCGGUAGUC